rnacentral:rRNA from 1 species
AUUGAACGCUGGCGGCAUGCUUUACACAUGCAAGUCGAACGGUAACAGGCCUUCGGGUGCUGACGAGUGGCGGACGGGUGAGUAAUGCAUCGGAACGUGCCCAGAGGUGGGGGAUAACGCAACGAAAGCUGUGCUAAUACCGCAUGUGAUCGGAGGAUGAAAGCGGGGGACCAGGCAGCAAUGUUUGGCCUCGCGCCUUUGGAGCGGCCGAUGUCCGAUUAGGUAGUUGGUGGGGUAAAGGCCUACCAAGCCGACGAUCUGUAGCUGGUGUGAGAGGCCGGCCAGCCACACUGGGACUGAGACACGGCCCAGACUCCUGAGGGAGGCAGCAGUGGGGAAUUUUGGACAAUGGGCGCAAGCCUGAUCCAGCAAUGCCGCGUGCGGGAAGAAGGCCUUCGGGUUGUAAACCGCUUUUGUGCGGAACGAAAAGGCUCUGGCUAAUACCUGGGGCUGAUGACGGUACCGUAAGAAUAAGCACCGGCUAACUACGUG